CGGCAAGUAAGAAGUAAGACUGACCAGAGGAGUGAGACAGGCAAAAAGUGCACAGGGGAACAAGUAAAAUGAAAGGUAAUGCUUGCUCUCGCAGUCUUCCUGUCUGUUGAUCCACUACUUCAAGGUAAAGUUUCUCAAAUAGUUGCAGGUAUCCUUCAUCUGUAUGUAACUCUGGUGUCCACCAUUCUGAAUAAAGUGUGUUAGUACAAAACACUGCUCCAUUAUAUGAUUUUACUCCUCCAGGAAACCUGUAUUCCUCCUCCUCUGCGUUUUCCCAGAAUGCAAUGCGAGGAUCUGUGUGAUUUUAAGGAAAGAAGCCUUUUUGAGUUAAUUGUCCUGUGUUUAGAUAAAAAAUAGGAUAUUCUUUAUACUUGACUUUGUCAAAUGUAAUCCCAGGACGUGGACAUUGAUCUGCUUUUAUUUAUUUUGCAGGCCAUCUCCUUGUCCCUUGAAAGUCCACAAAAUAGCAAUGUGCAAAUGUUGAAAAACACAUUUUUUCUCUGUAUGUCUUUUGUUUCCAGUAUUCUUGCAAAGGCAAAUCAUAUUCCAAAGUCUUUGCUUGUAUCAUUUCCAUUUGCCCAUUUAUGUGAUCUUUUAUACCAAUUUUCUUCCCAUUUGAGUUGUGAUCUUUGCUUUCUUUGAUAUUACUGUUGAAUCUAUCAAUAUGACUUGAGAUAUUCCUAAUACUUUUUGCUUUUGUAUUAUAGGUUUUGGAAAUGGUUUCCAAUAAAUUCCUUGCAGUAGCCCAUUCAUCUUUAUUUCUACAGGUUGCAGAUUGUAAUGUACAGCUCUUUUUAGUCUUGAUAUUGUUGUUACAGCAUCAUCUCGAGCUUUUGUUUGAUUCCAUGCCAGAACAGCUCCAGGUCUCUUUGCAAGACUAUUCCACUGUAGACGAAAAACUAACAUGCAGGUUUCCAUCUUGGCCAUAAAGGUUUCGCUGCUUGAACUCUUUCCUGGACAAACUGACCAACCUGUGGUGUCCAAGCUCAUAAAAGAUUUUAUCUCCCUUGAGACUGCAGCAUGCAGAGGUGCAAUUAACACAAUGAAAUCAGGUGAUGCAAACUGCAGCUCCUGGAACCGUACUGGAGGCAAGACAGAUCUUCUUGAAUGAUGCAUGAUGUUGGAUUGAACAAGGCCUAGGAUUUCCAAAGCGAAGAAAAAAGGGGGUCUCUCCUUCAGGAUCCAAGGAAAAAGAGGGACAGGAAGCUACGUGCAGCUCUUUUUAAUGUAAGGCCAGGGACUCCUCCCUACACUUGCAACAAUGUUGCACUAGCUUCUACACCCAGCCCUGUUCUCCUAUCUCGCUCAUUCUAGCCUUAACCCUUAGGUUGCUACAGUCCCAUGCUGUUCCUUUCACUGUAUUUGUAUGCAGCUUCAAUGCACUUUUUUUUAUUAUUGCUGAUACAUACAAUGCAUAUAAAAAUACUAUAAUUAUUAAUAGCUGUUAUCAGCUGCUGAUUAUUAGUUAAUAGAAAGCCCUGUGCACUAAUCUUUCUGUGCUUACUAGUACAUAAUAUCAUUAUAAUAUCCUUAUUAAUAAAGUGCUUGUAUUUCAUUGUGGCUUAAUA